UAUAUACAAAUAGACAAAAAAAAUAAACAGAUACUUUUUGUCACGUCACAAAUUCUAUAGAAUUUUUAUGUUUUUAAUGUCAUUUUUAAAAAUUAGAGUUAACUCAACAAGUAUUAAAAUAUUCGCUAACAAUAAACACUAAAAAAAUGUUACUUGACAUAGCAUAGAAGAUAAGUGACUUAUUCGAAAAUAUAAAGCAAAUUUCAAGACUUACUCCAGACAGUUGCUUUGCCUCUUUAAUAUGAAGUCCUCCAACUUCGACGGUUCCAGGUAAAUAUGGCCUCGUUAUCCCGACACUGAAAUGAGCAUUAACUAAAGUUAAAGAAACAUUUUUCAACAUAUCCUCCAUUGAAGGUCUAGUUUCCCAACCAGGAUAUUUGAAGAAAGUAUCCAUUAUAUCUUUAUACUUUGUAAACGACAUUUUUGGGGUUACACCUGCUCUAGCAUCAGGUAUGUAAGAGUACGUUGAAGGCUCACCUAUCCAUUUAGAAUUGCUUUGCCAUAGCAUCAAAACAUUUAAAUUUAUAAUAGAAUCAUCAUUUUGAAUAAACUCUUGAAGAACUGUACUUGAAAGAACAUUAUAAGCUCUUUUAACUGUAAAAUACCACGAUAACGGUAUGACAGUUAAAAAAUGUCUUCCAGUCAUAAUCAUUGGUGGAAUUGCUGAAAAUCAGGCUUAUCAAGUGGAAAAAAACUUAUGACAGUGACAUUAUAACCUCUAAAAGCCAAUUCUCGGAAAAGAGCUUGAAAACCACCAAAAUGGCUUUUAAUGGGCAAUGGUGCAAAAACAAGAAUAUUUUCUCCAUUUGUUGGUAGGUUG